GCAGUCGUGGCCGAGCGGUUAAGGCGAUGAACUAGAAAUCCAUUGGGGUCUCCCCGCACAGGUUCGAAUCCUGUCGACUGCG
rnacentral:tRNA from 1 species